rnacentral:rRNA from 1 species
UACGAACUGCGCAAACGUUAUUCGGAAUCACUGGGCUUACAGGGUGCGUAGGCGGCCGAUCAGGUCCGGUGUGAAAUCCCACAGCUCAACUGUGGAAUGGCAUUGGAAACCGAUCGGCUUGAGUGGGCUAGAGGUGCACGGAACUUCCGGUGGAGCGGUGAAAUGUGUUGAGAUCGGAAGGAACACCAGAGGCGAAAGCGGUGCACUGGAGCUUGUCUGACGCUGAGGCACGAAAGCCAGGGGAGCAAAC